GAUGGGCGUCGACCGGCGCACGGGUGAGUAACGCGUAUCCAACCUGCCCACCACUUGGGGAUAACCUUGCGAAAGUAGGACUAAUACCCAAUGACGUCUCUAGAAGACAUCUGAAGGAGAUUAAAGAUUUAUCGGUGAUGGAUGGGGAUGCGUCUGAUUAGCUUGUUGGCGGGGUAACGGCCCACCAAGGCGACGAUCGGUAGGGGUUCUGAGAGGAAGGUCCCCCACAUUGGAACUGAGACACGGUCCAAACUCCUACGGGAGGCAGCAGUGAGGAAUAUUGGUCAAUGGGCGAGAGCCUGAACCAGCCAAGUAGCGUGCAGGAUGACGGCCCUAUGGGUUGUAAACUGCUUUUAUAAGGGAAUAAAGUGAGUCUCGUGAGACUUUUUGCAUGUACCUUAUGAAUAAGGACCGGCUAAUUCCGUGCCAGCAGCCGCGGUAAUACGGAAGGUCCGGGCGUUAUCCGGAUUUAUUGGGUUUAAAGGGAGCGUAGGCCGGAGAUUAAGCGUGUUGUGAAAUGUAGAUGCUCAACAUCUGAACUACAGCGCGAACUGGUUUCCUUGAGUACGCACAAAGUGGGCGGAAUUCGUGGUGUAGCGGUGAAAUGCCUAGAUAUCACGAAGAACUCCGAUUGCGAAGGCAGCUCACUGGAGCGCAACUGACGCUGAAGCUCGAAAGUGCGGGUAUCGAACAGGAUUAGAUACCCUGGUAGUCCGCACGGUAAACGAUGGAUGCCCGCUGUUGGUCUGAAUAGGUCAGCGGCC
rnacentral:rRNA from 1 species